rnacentral:rRNA from 1 species
AGUGAACGCUGGCGGUAGGCCUAACACAUGCAAGUCGAACGGCAGCACAGUAAGAGCUUGCUCUUACGGGUGGCGAGUGGCGGACGGGUGAGGAAUACAUCGGAAUCUACUUUUUCGUGGGGGAUAACGUAGGGAAACUUACGCUAAUACCGCAUACGCCCUACGGGUGAAAGCAGGGGAUCUUCGGACCUUGCGCGAUUGAAUGAGCCGAUGUCGGAUUAGCUAGUUGGCGGGGUAAAGGCCCACCAAGGCGACGAUCCGUAGCUGGUCUGAGAGGAUGAUCAGCCACACUGGAACUGAGACACGGUCCAGACGCCUACGGGAGGCAGCAGUGGGGAAUAUUGGACAAAGGGCGCAAGCCUGAUCCAGCCAUACCGCGUGGGUGAAGAAGGCCUUCGGGUUGUAAAGCCCUUUUGUUGGGAAAGAAAAGCAGCAGGUUAAUACCCCGCUGUUCUGACGGUACCCAAAGAAUAAGCACCGGCUAACUUCGUG